GAUGAACGCUAGCUACAGGCUUAACACAUGCAAGUCGAGGGGCAGCAUCAUCAAAGCUUGCUUUGAUGGAUGGCGACCGGCGCACGGGUGAGUAACACGUAUCCAACCUGCCGACAACACUGGGAUAGCCUUUCGAAAGAAAGAUUAAUACCGGAUGGCAUAGUUUUCCCGCAUGGGAUAAUUAUUAAAGAAUUUCGGUUGUCGAUGGGGAUGCGUUCCAUUAGGCAGUUGGCGGGGUAACGGCCCACCAAACCAACGAUGGAUAGGGGUUCUGAGAGGAAGGUCCCCCACAUUGGAACUGAGACACGGUCCAAACUCCUACGGGAGGCAGCAGUGAGGAAUAUUGGUCAAUGGACGAGAGUCUGAACCAGCCAAGUAGCGUGAAGGAUGACUGCCCUAUGGGUUGUAAACUUCUUUUAUACGGGAAUAAAGUUAGCCACGUGUGGCUUUUUGUAUGUACCGUAUGAAUAAGGAUCGGCUAACUCCGUGCCAGCAGCCGCGGUAAUACGGAGGAUCCGAGCGUUAUCCGGAUUUAUUGGGUUUAAAGGGAGCGUAGGCGGGUUGUUAAGUCAGUUGUGAAAGUUUGCGGCUCAACCGUAAAAUUGCAGUUGAUACUGGCGACCUUGAGUGCAACAGAGGUAGGCGGAAUUCGUGGUGUAGCGGUGAAAUGCUUAGAUAUCACGAAGAACUCCGAUUGCGAAGGCAGCUUACUGGAUUGUAACUGACGCUGAUGCUCGAAAGUGUGGGUAUCAAACAGGAUUAGAUACCCUGGUAGUCCACACAGUAAACGAUGAAAAGGGCGCUGUUGGCGAUAUCCAGUCAGCGGCCAACCGAAAGCAUUAAUUUUUCCUCCGGGGGAGUACGCCGGCAACGGGAAAACUCAAAGGAAUUGACGGGGGCCCGCACAAGCGGAGGAACAUGUGGUUUAAUUCGAUGAUACGCGAGGAACCUUACCCGGGCUUAAAUUGCAACUGACUGAACCGGAAACGGUUCUUUCUUCGGACAGUUGUGAAGGUGCUGCAUGGUUGUCGUCAGCUCGUGCCGUGAGGUGUCGGCUUAAGUGCCAUAACGAGCGCAACCCUUAUCGAUAGUUACUAGCAGGUCAUGCUGAGGACUCUAUUGAGACUGCCGUCGUAAGAUGUGAGGAAGGUGGGGAUGACGUCAAAUCAGCACGGCCCUUACGUCUNNNGCUACACACGUGUUACAAUGGGGGGUACAGAAGGCAGCUACACGGCGACGUGGUGCUAAUCCCGAAAGCCUCUCUCAGUUCGGAUUGGAGUCUGCAACCCGACUCACUGAAGCUGGAUUCGCUAGUAAUCGCGCAUCAGCCACGGCGCGGUGAAUAAGUUCCCGGGCCUUGUAC
rnacentral:rRNA from 1 species